UGUGUGUGUGUGUGUGUGUGUGUGUGUGUGUGUGUGUACAUACACACACACACACACACACACUAAAUAAAUAAA
rnacentral:miRNA from 1 species